rnacentral:rRNA from 1 species
AGUGAACGCUGGCGGUAGGCCUAACACAUGCAAGUCGAACGGCAGCACAGUAAGAGCUUGCUCUUACGGGUGGCGAGUGGCGGACGGGUGAGGAAUACAUCCGAAUCUACUUUUUCGUGGGGGAUAACGUAGGGAAACUUACGCUAAUACCGCAUACGACCUACGGGUGAAAGCAUGGGAUCUUCGGACCUUGCGCGAUUGAAUGAGCCGAUGUCGGAUUAGCUAGUUGGCGGGGUAAAGGCCCACCAAGGCGACGAUCCGUAGCUGGUCUGAGAGGAUGAUCAGCCACACUGGAACUGAGACACGGUCCAGACUCCUACGGGAGGCAGCAGUGGGGAAUAUUGGACAAUGGGCGCAAGCCUGAUCCAGCCAUACCGCGUGGGUGAAGAAGGCCUUCGGGUUGUAAAGCCCUUUUGUUGGGAAAGAAAAGCAGCAGGUUAAUACCCCGCUGUUCUGACGGUACCCAAAGAAUAAGCACCGGCUAACUUCGUG